AGCAGCCGCGGUAAUUCCAGCUCCAAUAGCGUAUAUUAAAGUUGUUGCAGUUAAAAAGCUCGUAGUUGAAUUUCGGGAUCAGUUGGUCGGUCGUGCCUCGGUACGUACUGGUCAAAUUGAUUCCUACCUUCUGACGAACCACGAUGUCAUUAAUUUGGUGUCGCGGGAAAUCAGGACUGUUACUUUGAAAAAAUUAGAGUGUUUAAAGCAGGCUCGCGCUUGAAUACAUUAGCAUGGAAUAAUGAAAUAGGACGUUUGAUUCUAUUUUGUUGGUUUCUAGGAUCGACGUAAUGAUUAAUAGGGAUAGUUGGGGGCAUUAGUAUUCAAUUGUCAGAGGUGAAAUUCUUGGAUUUAUUGAAGACUAACUACUGCGAAAGCAUUUGCCAAGGAUGUUUUCAUUAAUCAAGAACGAAAGUUAGGGGAUCGAAGACGAUCAGAUACCGUCGUAGUCUUAACCAUAAACUAUGCCGACUAGGGAUCGGAUGAUGUAAUUUUUAAUGACUCAUUCGGCGCCUUACGG
rnacentral:rRNA from 1 species